AACGAACGCUGGCGGCGUGGAUAAGACAUGCAAGUCGAGCGCUGAUUUCAGGGUAGCAAUAUUCUGAAGUUGGAGCGGCGCAAGGGUGCGUAACACGUGGGUAAUCUGCCGUGAAGUUGGGGAUAACUCGCUGAAAGGCGAGCUAAUACCGGAUGUGAAAAUUGAAAGGCAUCUUUUGAUUUUUAAAGUUGGGGAUCGUAAGACCUGACGCUUCAUGAUGAACCCGCGGCCUAUCAGCUAGUUGGUGAGGUAACGGCUCACCAAGGCUAAGACGGGUAGCUGGUCUGAGAGGACGACCAGCCACACUGGAACUGAGACACGGUCCAGACACCUACGGGUGGCAGCAGUCGAGUAAUUUUUCACAAAUGGGCGAAAGCCUGAUGGAGCGACGCCGCGUGGGGAUGAAUGCUUCGCCCGUAAACCCCUGUCAUUGCGAACAAACCUUGUACAUUUAAAAGAUAGACGAGCUGAUUGUAGC
rnacentral:rRNA from 1 species